AGAGUUUGAUCCUGGCUCAGAUUGAACGCUGGCGGCAGGCCCAAUACAUGCAAGUCGAACGGUAACAUAAGAAAAGCUUGCUUUUCUUGAUGACGAGUGGCGGACGGGUGAGUAAGAUUUGGGAAACUACCUGAUAGAGGGGGACAACAGUUGGAAACGACUGCUAAUACCGCAUACAGCCUCAGGGUGAAAGAAGCGAUUCGCUAUCAGAUGUGCCCAAACGGGAUUAGCUAGUAGGUGAGGUAAAGGCUCACCUAGGCGACGAUCUCUAGCUGGUCUGAGAGGAUGAUCAGCCACAUUGGGACUGAGACACGGCCCAGACUCCUACGUGAGGCAGCAGUAGGGAAUAUUGCACAAUGGAGGAAACUCUGAUGCAGCCAUGCCGCGUGUGUGAAGAAGGCCUUCGGGUUGUAAAGCACUUUCGGAGGGGAGGAAGAAAAUGACGUUACCCUCAGAAGAAGCACCGGCUAACUCCGUGCCAGCAGCCGCGGUAAUACGGAGGGUGCAAGCGUUAAUCGGAAUAACUGGGCGUAAAGGGCAUGCAGGCGGUUCAUCAAGUAGGAUGUGAAAUCCCCGGGCUCAACCUGGGAACAGCAUACUAAACUGGUGGACUAGAGUAUUGCAGGGGGAGACGGAAUUCCAGGUGUAGCGGUGGAAUGCGUAGAUAUCUGGAAGAACACCAAAGGCGAAGGCAGUCUCCUGGGCAAAUACUGACGCUCAUAUGCGAAAGCGUGGGUAGCAAACAGGAUUAGAUACCCUGUAGUCCACGCCGUAACGAUGUCAUUAGGAGCUUGGCAGUAGUCUGGUUCCGCAGCUAACGCAAUAAAUUGACCGCUGGGAGUACGGCGCAAGUAAACUCAAUGAAUUGACGGGGCCCGCACAGCGUGAGCAUGUGGUUUAUCCGACGCACGCGAGACUACUGAUCUGACAUCGUAGACCUCACUGAAGGUGGAGGUGCUCGGACUACAGACAGUGCUGCAUGCCUGUCGUCAGCUCUGUUCGGAAAUGUUAGGUAAGUCCCGCACGAGGCCACCCCUUGCUUUGUUGCCAGCGGGUAAAGCCGGGAACUCAAAGGAGACUGCCAGUGACAAACUGGAGGAAGGCAGGGAUGACGUCAAGUCAUCAUGGCCCUUACGGUCAGGGCUACACACGUGCUACAAUGGGGCGUACAGAGGGAAACGAUACCGCGAGGUGGAGUGGAACCCAAAAAGCGUCCCUAAGUUCGGAUUGGAGUCUGCAACUCGACUCCAUGAAGUCGGAAUCGCUAGUAAUCGCAAAUCAGAAUGUUGCGGUGAAUACGUUCCCGGGCCUUGCACACACCGCCCGUC
rnacentral:rRNA from 1 species